CCUACGGUGGGCAGCAAUGAGGAAUAUUGGUCAAUGGACGAGAGUCUGAACCAGCCAAGUAGCGUGAAGGAUGACUGCCCUAUGGGUUGUAAACUUCUUUUAUAUGGGAAUAAAAUGUUCCACGUGUGGGAUUUUGUAUGUACCAUAUGAAUAAGGAUCGGCUAACUCCGUGCCAGCAGCCGCGGUAAUACGGAGGAUCCGAGCGUUAUCCGGAUUUAUUGGGUUUAAAGGGAGCGUAGGUGGAUUGUUAAGUCAGUUGUGAAAGUUUGCGGCUCAACCGUAAAAUUGCAGUUGAAACUGGGGAUCUUGAGUGGGCGAGAAGUAUGCGGAAUGCGUGGUGUAGCGGUGAAAUGCAUAGAUAUCACGCAGAACUCCGAUUGCGAAGGCAGCAUACCGGCGCCCGACUGACGCUGAGGCACGAAAGCGUGGGGAUCGAACAGGAUUAGAUACCCUAGUAGUC
rnacentral:rRNA from 1 species